GACGAACGCUGGCGGCGUGCCUAAUACAUGCAAGUCGAACGCAGUGGGGACGGGUGAGUAACACGUGGGUAACCUCCCAUCAGAGGGGAUAACACUUGGAAACAGGUGCUAAACCGAUACUGAUGGAUGGACUCGCGGUGCAUUAGCUAGUUGGUGAGGUAACGGCGCACCAAGGCCACGAUGCAUAGCCGACCUGAGAGGGUGAGCGGCCACACUGGGACUGAGGCACGGGCCAAACUCCUACGGGAUGCAGCAGUAGGGAAUCUUCGGCAAUUGACGAAAGUCUGACCGAGCAACGCCGCGUGAGUGAAGAAGGUUUUCGGGUUGUAAAGGUCUGUUAAGCGGGACGCGGUACCGGAAGAGAAAGCCACGGCUAACUACGUGCCAGCCGCCGCGGUAAUAC
rnacentral:rRNA from 1 species